AAAAAAAUUCGACGAAAAAUUCCAAUAUUACUAUCGUAAUCCUGGACUAUACUUUUAUUAUCUGUAACAUUCAAAUAUAUGAUACGAAAAUUUACAGUUUUUAAAAGAUUUUUUACUAUUCACUAUCGUAAUUUCAUUAAGAGUUUAUUGUAAUCAAUUCAAUAAGAAAUAUUACAAUGUUACUAUCGUAAAUAGUAAAAGAAUAAAAAAUAAGAUUUAAUUAUACUAUUUAUUCUUUUAUUCUUCCUUUUAAUUUACAGUGCUGCCUCUAUGUUUUUACAAUACAAGCUACAAAAAUUACGAUAGUUGGAUUGUAAAUUUUCUGAAAUGGUAUAGUAUAUGCCAUCUGAAGCGUUUACGUAUAAAAGACAAGUGUUGUCACAAACCAUGAUGUGAUGCUUGUAUGAGUGUAUAUAUAUAUAUAAAUACAAAUGAUGACAUCUACUUUGUCUGUAUUAUUUGUGGUUCAACUAUAUAUAUUUAUAAAUCAGUUCAUCUUUAUCCACAGUGUAGUGCAGAAAUAGAGGUUAUUAUUCAUGACGUUUUUCGGACAAUUAUAAAUAAGAAAUUUAAAAUAAAAACUGUACUUUCGUCAUUACAAACCUACAUAGAUUGUGGAAUAUAAUAAUUUGGUGGUGAUAAUCUUCAUUUGUCGACAAUGAAUAAUUUUACCCGGCUUUGCGAGAGGUAAAACAUUUCAAUAACCUCAAAUUAUGGACAUUCAACAUUUCUUUAUGAUACUGAAGUUAGCAGACGCCUAAUAAUUUUUGGAUUUUUUUAAAAAUGAUAAAUUAUAGAAAAAAAGUAUUCGAAAAAAUUGCACCUAUGGUUUUUUUAAUUUUCUACAUGUGCGUAUUUUGAAUACAAAUAAAUGAGUUAUUUAUUCAUAAAUUUUAUAUAUACCAAAAAAAUAUGUUUGAAAAAAUAUUAAAUAAAUGUUUUAUUAUUACUACUUCAA